rnacentral:rRNA from 1 species
GACGAACGCUGGCGGCGUGCUUAACACAUGCAAGUCGAACGGAAAGGCCCUGCUUUUGUGGGGUGCUCGAGUGGCGAACGGGUGAGUAACACGUGAGUAACCUGCCCUUGACUUUGGGAUAACGUCAGGAAACUGGGGCUAAUACCGGAUAGGAGCUCCUGCUGCAUGGUGGGGGUUGGAAAGUUUCGGCGGUUGGGGAUGGACUCGCGGCUUAUCAGCUUGGUGGUGGGGUAGUGGCUUACCAAGGCUUUGACGGGUAGCCGGCCUGAGAGGGUGACCGGCCACAUUGGGACUGAGAUACGCCCCAGACUCCUACGGGAGGCAGCAGUGGGGAAUAUUGCACAAUGGGCGGAAGCCUGAUGCAGCAACGCCGCGUGCGGGAUGACGGCCUUCGGGUUGUAAACCGCUUUCGCCUGUGACGAAGCGUGAGUGACGGUAAUGGGUAAAGAAGCACCGGCUAACUACGUG